AAGGCAAGUCGUUCUAUCGCCCCGCGUUAAACCGGGGAGGAAAGUCCGGGCAACACAGGGCAUUCUGCUUCCUAACAGGAAGGAUUCGUGAAAGCGGAGACGGAAAGUGCUACAGAAAAUAAACUACCUCAGCCUUAGGGUUGGUGGAAAAGGUGAAAACGUGAGGUAAGAGCUCACGGUCUUUCCGGGCGACCGGAAUUUCGGUAAACCCCAGAAGUUGAAAGACCAAAUAGGUUUCGGAAGUGAAGCUGCCCGCUUACUUAUGCCGCACGUCGGUAUUAUCCGGAAUGGGUAGGUCGUUAGACCGCGUGAGCGAUUGCGCGGCUAGAUAAAUGAUAGAAAUCCCGAGUAUUCGGGAUACAGAACCCGGCUUACAGGCUUGCAUUUUUA
rnacentral:RNase_P_RNA from 1 species